rnacentral:lncRNA from 1 species
CCAUUUUGAGUACCCUUGAAAAUUGCGUUUCUAACCGUCACAUUUUGAACUCCUUCCUCUUCCAGGUCUUUGGCCAAACUCCCUAUGCUGCAAUCACCACACCCAUGCAUGCAUAAGCCAAUGCUAAUGCCAACUAUUUUUUCAUAGAAGAGAUUUGGGGAUGGGAUUUUCUCACACGCAUACAUUGUUAAUGUGCCACGGAGUUUGAACUUGAGAGCAUUGGUCUGCAAGUCAAGGCCCUUUCCACGGGGCUAGACCACAAUGGCAAUGCUAAUACUAACAAUAAUUAAGGGGUUUAAUUGCAACCUUAAUAUAUAUAGCUAUGCAAAGCAAGAGCUAAAAUCUAACCUAAUGCCAUGGCCAGGUCCACAUGAUAUUUGUUCGACCCACAAGUCCUUCAUGCCAGGGCCAAUAGAGACGCAAUCAUCACCAGUUUUGAUGGAUGUGUUGAAAAUUGCAACAUUUCUUGACAAUUGGACAUGGAUGCCAUCAGUGUUUGGGCUAUUGCCAGCCGCAUUGACUUUGACUCCUCGAAUGUAAACAUCUUGGCAACCGUUUACCACAAUGUGGAACAUUUGGCUGUUCAACGACGUUAGUCCAUUGAUGCUAAUGUUUUUGGAGUUUGUAAAUCUCAGACUCUGCAUUGGAAGAAACUUAAAAGAAAUGAGAAAGAGAACAUGAUGAAUAUACUUGUAGGGUAACUUAGACCACAAGCUUACACAAGCAUUAUCAUUGCAAGAAAAAGAUAAAUUACUAAUUGUUGCUAUGUUGGUUCACAAUAACAAAUGAAAAGAAGAAGCAAAUUACUGACCGUGGCUCCGUUGGGACAGCCAGUGCUUGCAGCUAACUUGCAAGCCCACAAGGCAGUACCUUUGGCAUCAAGUGUGCCUCCAACGAUGGAAACACCGGUAACUCGUUCGAAGCUGAGCCAGUUGUUAGCUUGGCCUAGAAUACGGUAAUCAGAUGAAGCAAUCAACGUUCCGUCGAUCUGGAAAGUAAUAUCUAGGGUUUUGCAUUUGUCACCUCUAAACUUGAUAGCAGAGGGAAGCAAAUACCUCCCUUUUGGUACACUUAUGGUAGUGGAAUCGUUAGAGGCACAAGCUGCAGACCAUGCAUCAACAAAAGCUUGGGUGGAAUCCGUUGCACCAUUAGGCUUAGCUCCAAAACUUAGGACAUUGUAAAUGAAUGCACUCUCAACAACCAAUGAUUGUAGAAUCAUCAAUACUACAACUCUGUAAAGACAAUUUGUAACAUUCACCAUUUUUCCUUCUCUUCUUCUUUUUUUUCUUUUUUUUUUUUCCUGUGUGAGAGGGAGUAAGAGAGAAAUUAAAAUACUGAUGUUUGAUGGAAAUGAAUGAAAAGUCAAAUUUUGGUGGAAGGAAUGAAGAGUGUUGGGGUAUUUAUAGUCUAUAUGGUACAUGCAUAUAUGCAAUAAUUAGCUAACUAGCUAGGUUGAUAUAUAAGGGAUGUUUGUAUUAUAUAUUUAUAUUUGUAUAGAGGAUGGUGUGGGUUCUAAGAAAUUAAUGUAUCAUAUAAAGAAAAGGGUGAUGAUUUUUCCACUCCUUUUUUGUCAACUUACACUUCCUUUUGUUUUCUAAUAGUUUUUAUUAUAACAAAAAAGAGAGUGUAAGUGGAUAAAAGAGGAGUGGGAACAUACAAUUUCAAACAAAAGGAGUGUAAGUAAAUAAAAGAGGAGUGGGAAAAUCAGCUCUCUAAGAAAACUGCGCCCCAAAUAAUUUGUCAUCCACUCUUUGGUACCCGUGCUUUAUAAAAUUUGAAUUUUCCCAUUCAAAUUCAUUUUUUCUUACCUACAGCCCAUCCUUUUAUUUUUCUAUAAAUUACACUUAAUUUUUAUAAGUAAAAUCCGGUUACAAGAAUCCACAUAAGCAAGUUACCUAAUCAAAUUUAACAUAUUAAAUGUUAUAUUUUUUGAAUUCCUAAAGUACCCCUAAUUGCAUUUUUAACCUUUUUUUUUUUCUAACAAAUUAUUUGCUAUUCAAUGUCAUAAUGGUGUUUCAAUUUUGCAUAAGUUUUGUGGGUCAGUUUUAUUUAUUUAUUUUAUAUAUAAUUAAAACUUGGUUGUAAUUAGUGUCGUAUGUUUUUGAAAUUGAUUGGUUCCAAAACCUAGUGGAAAUUUAGGGAUUAAAAAAAUAGAAACCACGUUCGAAUGCCUAGUAAAAAACAUUAUUGAAAUCCUGAACUUAAGGGAUUUUUUUAAGGAGAAAAAUGUUCAGCAACAAAGAAGGGUUGAUGGCAUGAUUUGUAAAUAUGUCAAAAUACAUGAACACUUUGGCAUCCAAUUAAAAAUUGAGUUUUAUUUAAAUGUAAUAAAAUAGGUGGGUUAUUGUCUAGAGUAUUUUAGUUGUAUGGGGCUAUUUUAGUCAGACCCAAUAUUAUUAAUAAAUUGGCAAAGGGUUUAUAUGUGAAGUGUAGUUUCGAUAUCAAUUGGUCACUGACUUGUUAAUGAAUCAAUUCAUCUCACAUGGAUGCACUAAUUUGUACUUAAAUUCCUUCAUGGCUACGAAGAUCAAGAUCAAGAUCAGAUCAUCAUUCCAAAGCUUGCUGUGCCUCAGCAAAAACUCAGAGCUACCAUGCAGAUGCAUGCACAUAGUGCAAUCAAUUAAGAAAGAUUAAAGAGGAAAGCUAAUUAAACUCUGAAAUAACUAAAGAAGAAACUGAUUACUCCCUGCCGUAACUCAUAAAAUUUUAUACAUCCAAUUUCCAUAAUUUUUGGACCUCAAAUUUCUGAGUUCAUCUCCAAAUUUUGCCAUAAUUUUCUGUAACCUUCCACACACAUUUUUGUCUAUCCGCCAAUAUAUAUAAGGGAAUGGGCGAACGUAACUUGUCCAUCCCUCGACUGAGAAAAUAGUAAAUUUGGCUUUUCCCCGCUGACUUACCGAAGAAGAUGCGUCCUCAACCUCAGUGGCUCCUCUUGGCACUAAUUGGCCUUCUCCUUCCUCUGAUGCUGGUGGCUGCUGUUACUUCGCCGCGGCCUCUUGCCGGCGGUUGGAAGCCCAUAGCCAAAGAGAACAUCAGCGACCCUCGUCUGAAGUUGAUGGCAGACUUCGCGGUGUCCAUGUACAACUUGCGAACCCAUAAGAAGUUGUUCGUUGUGAGAGUCGUCCGCGGCGACACUCAGAUCGUGGCGGGCCAGAACUAUCGGCUUGUCGUUUUGGCCAAGGAUGGACUAUCGUUGCCUAACUCCACCGCAGAUCAUGCCCAUUAUGAGCUUCGUGUCUAUGAGAAGCUUUGGGAGGAUCUUUGGAAAUUGGUCUCUUUUCGUCAACUCGAAAAUUAAACAAAAUUAAUAACGUAUUUGAUAUCUUUAAAUUCCUCCCUAGUUAUAAUAAAGACCCAUUGUAUUGAGGGAUAUAGUGAUUCUUCUGAAUAAUAUUAAAUUAAUGGUAAAUUUCCUACCCCGUCUUAUUUUUCCACUCACCUUAUUUUUUCAUAUGGAUCCCGAGCCUCUGCAUUUAGAAUCGGUGUAUUUAAACGCUUUUAAAAGAAUACAAACUAUUAGAUUAAUCUAAUGAUUUUAAUAAAUCCACGUCAGCAAACUCUGUGGUUUGUGCUUUUUGAGCUUAGUGUGGUUGUGAGGUUUGAUUGAUUUUUUGGUUUGAAUUGUUGUGGGAUUAGUUUGUAUGGGUGUGCUUGGUUGCUGAGAAAGUGAAGGGAAUUUAAAAUGAGAAUUACCGUUUUAUAAGAAAUUGAGUAUAAGAAUAAGAGGUGUUGAAUCGAUAGUUUGCUUAAGGCAACGGAGAAUGUUCUCUUUAUUCAAGUAGUUGUACAUAUUGCUUAUUUUUUGUUCAAGUCCUGGGGGCAAAGGCGAAUGUCCAUGUAUGAGAUAUGUUCAGAAAGUUGACUCUUUAUGUUUCCUCUUCUUGCAAUUUGAUCUUAGAUUAAAAGGUUUGGUCAUUAAUUGAUGUUGGUAUUGUUUAAUAGUUGGAAAGCAUAGUCUGAUGAUCCUGCUUUGCAAUUGAAGUUCAUUUCCUAUUCCUAUUAUCCGUGUGAUGUUCUUGACUUUUGUUUUUCGUUUUUAUGUACAACACAGCCCUCCAAUUGCCUAGGAGGGGUUUCGAACCCGAGACCACUCGUCUUAAGCCAAACAUACUUUCCCACUAUGGUAUGACCCCAUUAGCAAGUAUUCAACAUCACUUCGUCUUAAGCUAAUGAUUAUUAGCUGUACAAGAAGCAAAAACUUUGUGGAAUGAUUGGUAACUUGUAGAUCUUUCCGGUGAAAAAGAAGUAAAUUGCACAACUUUGUCAACAAGAGUUGAAACAUCACUUUCCUUCUAAGAUCUCCCCUAGACAUGUAUCAGCCAAAUGGUUACCCCCCCCCCCCCCCCAAAAGCUUAUUGACCAGAGAACUUCAAAUGCCUUUUUCCAGUGCAUAACCUGUCCUAAACAUAAAGUCUAAACACAAGCAAAGAAUCUACCAUCCUAUCUCCUUGGGAGAGACAAUCAACCAGUCUCUCAAAAGUUUCCCGCUUUGGUUUAAGCUUACUCUUUAACAUUUCUAUCUGGCUCUGUCUCGUUUGAUAGCAUCAAGCUAGCAUAAUAUUUUUCUUUUACUACUGCAAUAUUGCAUGAUACAUGUCCCUUUAGAAAAACUUGGGAUUUCCUGAAGUGACUGAUAACCAAAUAGCUAAAGUUAGAAAGAAAAAAAACAGACAAAAACCAGAGAGGGGAGAGAGAGAGAAGGGGCGGGCAAAAUAAGAACAAAGGAAGUUUCAAACUCUACUUAAACUUUCCAUCGAAGAGCACAAGAUUCGUCACUGCUCAAAUUUAAAGAGAGAACAAAAAAGAAAAUGAUAACUCAGAAUCAAUUCAAAUCUCAAGAGAUUUCAAGACUACAGGUAAGAAAAUUAUGCACUGACACCCAAAUUACAAUUUGCUCAUGGACCAAUUUUCCCUUGUAAGCCACAAACAAAGUUACACACAUGUUGGCACAGCAGGUUCAGUGGUAGGGCACUUUUACCCUAUACUGGGCUUAGAGUUCGACUCUCGUCAUACCUUCGUCAGAGUGAAGAACAAAAAUUACACAACUUUUGAUCAUCUUGUGCAGAAAAAAGGUUUCAUAUUUCAUUUUUUCAAAGUUGCACAGAAAAGGGUUGGAAUUUUUUGAAUCGACAACUUUUACUAGUACAAAUACAACUUGCUCAAUGCUUCUGUUUUGUAUGGCAUUUUGUUCCAUGCUCAGUGCCCUGUAGUCUUGUAUAAAUCCCGUCUUUUAUAGCACUUCUGUAACAGAUAGGAUUAGUUUUAUUUAGCGUUUUGCAAUUUUUUUUUGGGGGGUCAAAUCCCUAUCUUUUAUAGCACUCCUGGAAAAACGCUAUGCUGAAGUGCUAUUAAUAACAGACUGUUGUGGUGCAACUAAACAUCCAACACUAGGGCUUGGUUUGGGGUUACUGUGCUUAAAAAAUAAGCUGCUUUGAAAAGAAGUUUUGGAGAUUUGAGCCUUUGGUAAAACCAAUCCAAGCUGCUUAUUUUAAAAUCUGUUGUCAUCCACAGCCGAAAACACGAAGCAGCUCGCAACCUGCUGCUAAAAUCUGAUGCACAGAGAAGCAUGCAGAGGAAUUUAAUGAACCUUUCAAAUUGCCCAUAUUGCUCUUAUUUGUUUCAAACAAUUACAUGCUCUAUCCUCAUCAUCCCGAGUUCGAGCCUCCCAAAGUGUCGUUCCUCAUGGAUUUUCUAGAGUCGUUCUCUCUCUGCAACUUGCUCGCCUCAUCCUCUCUGCAAGUUGUUCGCCUUCCUCAUCCCUCAAAGCUACCAUCUCAACCCAAAACCCCACAAACCCAGCUCCCUAUUUUACAGACCCAGAAGAUCUUCUUGCGCUCCAACCAAAAUACCCCCAACCCUAGCUUCACACUUUGUCAUCUCCACAGCCACAAAAAAUCCAACACCCAUAUUCCCCACCAAGUAUCUCCACAAAAGAAAACCAAACCCCAAACAAAACACAACCCAAUAUUACAAUCCCACUAUUCACAUCCAUAUAGCAAAGAAAGAGAGGUGUGGAUGUAUCAUCGACCUCCCAAGCCUCAUUGCUGAGCCCAAAUGCCAACUCAAGGCCGCGGACAUCCCAAGGCCCCAGAUCUCGAUGAAAUUUAAGAGAUGGAGGGAUGGAGAGAAAGAGAGAAAGGUGUGAGAUGGAAAAGCUUACACUUUUGACCAAAAACUUUGAUAAAAAAGGACUUGCAGAGUUCGACCAAAAACAUAAAGGACUUGCAGAGAAGGGAGACGAAGAAGAAGGGAGAACGGUCUCUGUCCAACAAGAAAAAGAAAUGAGAAGAGAGAAAGGGAGGGAAAAAAAAUAAAGAAAAAAAAUGUAUUGAAAUUUCUUAACUUCUGAAAAAAUUAACAUAAAUAUAUAAUAUUUUUUGUUAACCCUUUUUUGUUAACCCUUUUGGUAAUUAAACACUUAGCUGCUUCACUUCACAGCUGUUUAUUUUCGCAACACAGCAGAAACAGUUUUUUGUUAAAGCACAGUAAUACCAAACUAGCCCUAACACUAGGGUUCCUCUCUUUGCCAAUCCAAUUCCUUAUGAGCCCCACCUGUACUUUAAGCACCACUCUACGCUCUUUUACUACCGUCUACAUUCAAAAUUUCAACUUAUAGGACUUCCUAGGCAGAACAUCCAGCAUAAGCAAUACGCCCAGCUAAGGCACUCUAGCACAGAAAAACAAUAGCAUCUGCACAAAAACUGAGCCUAGAAGAUCCACUACAAUGUCAAUGCACAUGGGAGGAUUGUCACUCGUUUUACAGAUAUGACAAUUGUGCUGACAUCCAAUUGUCACUCAAAACAAAAGCAAUGCUAUUUCAAGCCUCAAACCCUAAACACUACAACACAACAAAUAUAACUCAAAAUCACAACAAUUGUGGCGAAGAACAUUGCAAUUAUGGGUUAAGCCUACUAACGAAAGAUGCCCAAGACCUCUAGGAUGUGUAGCAUUAUCUGUAAAACUGGACUGCCCCGAAAAUGCAGACAAUUCAUGAUCAGUCCAGUGAUGAAACGAUAUCCAAGUAAAAAUCAAUUCCAACAAAUAAGAACCAAGCAAUGAUUGAUGCACAUAUAUAAGCAGAAAGUAAUUUCAUCGCAUAAAAACAAAGCCGAGAAAAUCUCUAGGUUUCCGUAGCAUUGUAAAUCCAAAAGAGGAUGCUAAAUAGUCUAAAACGACAUAAUAACCAUCAAAACGACAUUUAAACACAGAAAACAAGAAGACCUAAGUGUUGGUGGCCCUGGUGUAAAUCUGCUGGCUGGCAUGAGCAGAAACCAUCCUAAUCGCCCCUCUGGCCAUCAAGUCCCUUAUGGCCUUCCUCGCCAGCGAUCCAUUGAUCCUGAGACGGUCGGAGAGAAUGGAGGGUGUGAUGAGCUUAUACUUGGGGGCCUCAGCGAUGAGCUUGUCGUACGUGCCCUGGUCGAAGAGCACCAUGUUGUUGACCUUCUCCUUUUGCUUUCCUUUGCUCCACUUCUUCUUCUUCUGCUUGCCUCCUCCUGACUUCGCCGGCUUCGAAGACGGCGGCGGUGCCUUAUCCUUCUUCGGUGCCUGAAAUUAAAAACUCUAGAUUGGUAACAAACAUUUACACAAACAGAUGGCGAUCAAUCUGGAAGCGAAUAUUGUACGUACCAUUAGAUCGGAUUACAGCGACUCACAAAGAGAGGAGCGAGGGAGAGAGAGAGACGGGAGGGUUGGCGGCUGGAGGCAGUGCGAGUGAACGAGGAAGAUAUGUGAGGGGUAGAGAUUUAUUGACUUAGGGUUUCCUCGGGUUACAUAGUAACGACGUCGUUUCGGCUACCUAAAUUUGUUUAACUGGCCCAUUUCUGAAAGAUCCAGAUAUUUAGGCCCAUAACUCCAAUAAAAUGCAAUUUUUUUUUCGGGUCAGACAAUAAAUAAAAAAAUCCCAUUGUAAAAUAUAUGCAAUUGAAUAAUUAUCAAAAUCGUAAAUUCAAUUAUUCUAGGGCUCUUUUGAUUCUGCUCACAUCUCACAUGCUUGUGGCUUGGUCGUGAUUUCUAGGGCCUCAAGCUUAAUUGGAGGGGCAUUGAGCAUAUAUGAAGCUUUAGCAUGUCGUUCGUUAAGCUAAUUCUAUAGUUGAUGUGUUUGCUAGUUUUGGAUAGGGGUGGGCAUCAAUCCGACUGAACCAAUGAAAUUGGUCAAUCAAACCGUAGUUACUAGUUUAGGUUGAUUUUGACCAAGAAAAAGUCAAACGGUAUGGUUUGAUACUAAAAAUCCAUGAAGUAAUACGAUGAAAAUCCUCUGUGUUUCUCAAGCAAUAUCAAACCCAUAAAUUCCAUUUGAACCCAUGAAGCAAUACGAUGAUUCAACAAAACCCAGGAAGCAAAAUUGAAAAUUUUCACAAACCCAUCAGGGAAAAGCUCUGGAAUUAGAUAUUUAAAUAUGUGGUGAUGUUGAGUGGGUGUGUGAAUUCAGAGGAGAACGGAUUCCGGUUAGGAUGGGCAAGUCCGAUCAAUUGGCGGUUCCGGCAAAAAAUCAAGGAUAGGUGGUGGGGAGUGUAGGUGGGUGUGGGUUUUGGGUUCAAACAAACCCCUUUUAAAUGGAAGACAGAGAAAGAGGGAAGAGACAGAAAGGGAAGAGAGAGAGGGGUUUUGGGUUCGAACAAACCUAGGCCAUUUAAUUGUUCUUUAUUUAUUUUUUAAAAAUUUAAUAAUUGUUUAAACGGUGGAGUUUCAAUUUUGCCCCUGCACGCAUGAACCACGUGUGUCUUAACUGAUGACAUAGGUCAAUUGCACUUCAUUUGCUGAUGACGCUAACCCAUUAACCAAAAUAGGAAAAAUUGAAAUUUAGGUAACCAAAUUUAAAUUUGACCAUAACACCAGUGAUAAAAAAUGUAAUUACCCCUAAAAAAAAUUAGUAAGAACCAAAAAAAUCCAAUUGGCACAUGCGUGUGUCAUAAUAUGUAAUCCAAAGGGCUAAUGUUCAUAAUAUGUGAUGUUCGUACAUAAAUGUGGUCUCUUUAAUAAGCUACUUAUUUAUUUAUUGUUGUAAAAUUUUAGUUACUAUCUCACCAUUGCAAAUCAUAUUUGUUAUUUCAAUAUAAUGUUAGGGCUCAUUUGGAAGUAAUUCCUGAGAGGCCAAUAAUCACUUUUAUGGAGAAUCACUUCUCCAAAUAAUCACUUUAAUUGAUUAAGUGAUUAUGAAAAAUCACAUGAGAGGUGUUUCCGCAGAAUCACUUAAAAUUACUAAAAGUGAUUAUAUGAAGAAGCAUAUGGGCAAAAGUGAUUAUGGCCUAUCUAAAGUCACUCCCAAACGAGCCCUUAAUCAAUUUAUCAAAAGACUUCCCCUCUACAAUGUACAAUGAAUGCUUUGGUAGUGAGGACUAGGCCUAAAUUUACUAGAGUAUGGUAAAUUGCCUUAAAAUUUAUGCAUCCAAUUUCCACAAUUUUUGGACCUCAAAUUUCUGAGUUCAUCUCCAAAUUAUGCCAUAAUUUUAUGUAACCAAUUUUGUCCAUCCACCAAUAUAUAUAACGGAUUGGACCAAUGUAACUUGUCCAUUGCUCGACUGUAAAAUUAGUAAAUUUAGCUUUUCCCCAUGGACUUAUUGAAGAUGUGCCCUCAAUGGCUCCUCCUAGCAAUGAUUGGCCUUCUCCUUCCUCUGAUGCUGGUGGCGGCUGCUGCUCCGCCGCUGCCUCUUGCUGGCGGUUGGCAGCCCAUAGCCAAAGAGAACAUCAACGACCCUAGUCUCAAGUUGAUGGCAGACUUCGAGAUGUCCAUGUACAACAUAUGAUCCCACAAGAAGUUGAUUGUUGAGAGAGUCGUCUGUGGAGACACCAGAUCGUCGUGGGCCAGAACUAUCAGUUUGUCAUUGUUGGCAUGAAUCAUGUAUAAUUAUAGGAUUCCCAUAUUAGAUGGGAUUGUAAUUACUUUCCUUUUCAUUGUAUACUUGUACACAUAUAAAUACCCUCCUAGAGAGAAGAAUAAAUCACUCCAAAUUAUUCUACCCUAGUACGCAUAUUUUAACUUUGUAUCAGAGCCGCGAUCCUAGGAUUGCGACAGCUCUCUCACAACCCGACGACUACCACAUCGCUACAACCAUAGUGCAGCGCCUACCCAUGUAAGUUUGAAUAGAUAUAACAUGAAAUACACUAACCUGUUUCAGACAUGAUGAACAAGAUGAAACUGAACUGAACUUGAGAAAACCAGAGACUUUCUCCUAGAAGCCGAGAACUCUUUCAGCAGUAAUUCUAAUGGGGUGAAUAUCUGUAUGCUUGUUUUUGUGUGUAUCUCGGCUCUAGAAGGAGCCUCCUAUUUAUAUGCAUAUCUCUAUGAGUUUAGCCCAUCAAUGAACUCUUAGAGAUAACCUUAAUGCUUAUAGGAUAAGGUAAUCUUAAUCCUUAUCAAAGUAGGAAUCCUUAAGCCUGUUUAAUAUAUAUCUAGAACACUUAUAUUAGGCUGCCAUAUCAGAUAGGAAUAGACUUUCUGAUAAACCAUGAGUUCUUAGGAAUCCUUAUUCGAUUAGAAGAUCACUUUAGUGGUUUAAGACAGUAAACCAUCUUACAUUCUCCCACUUGAUCAAAUAAUCGAUCGAAGCUCAUUGUCAUCACUUAAUGGCCAUGUGAAAAUCUACUUCUAUCUUUAUUCCUUUAUCAAGCCACUGUCAGAAUUGAUAGUUCACAAGGGACUGUCGAAGCUCCUUAGAUAUAUAACAUCUAAGACUUUUACAACCACACAUAUGAACUAACAACAACACAUAAGGCUUCCAACUGGAUUAAGAUUGAAACAGUUAUGAUUAUACUGUCAAGUGUAAUCAAUCAUAACUGGUUUAGCUCACUCUUAAUGACUGCCAAGGUCUUAAAAACAAAAUCAAUCAAUGACCCAUUCAUAGAUUCAAACUGUGAACAAAUUGCUAGCACAGUCACAGUUUGGCCUUAAUCUAUUUGUCAUUUAAUGAACCAGUAUAUGCUAGUAAUAUAAGACUUCAAAACAUUAACAUAACUGAAUCAAAACUGUCUAGAUAAACUAGUUAACAAAACAAAAUAAAACUGUAAUCACUUUAACUCCCACUAACUCCCACUGACUUUAAGCAUCAAAACUUAUCAGCAACCCCAUACUUACAACGUGCCUAUGAAAAACAUGAUUAGGCAAGCCUUUGUUUAAGGGAUCUGCUAUCAUCAGUUCUGUACCUAUAUGACUUAAGGCAGUCUCACCAUCUCGAAUUUUCUCCUUUGCUGAUAAGAACUUUAAAUGUAGAUGCUUCAUACCAGAUGACCUUUUAUUCCCAUUUGCAAAGUAUACAGCUGCACUGUUAUCAUUCCAUAGUUGAAUAGGCCUCUGUAUUGACUCCACUAUAUUUAGCAUUGACAUAAAAUUCUUGAGCCAUAUUGCCAUGGAAGUGGCUUCAUAAACUGCCAAGAACUCAGCUUGCAUUGUAGAGGUUGACACAUAUUGUUGUUUUACACUCUUUCAUGCGACUGCACCUCCUGCAAAAGGAAAAACAACCCCUGAUGUGCAUUUUUGAGUAUCCAAGCAGCCUGCAAAGUCAGCAUCUGCGUAGCCUUCUAGCUUUAAUUCUUCAACUCUUCUAUAAACCAGUUUAUACUCCUUAGUCCUCUGUAGGUACCUUAACACCUUUUUCCCAGCAACCCAAUGUGCCUGGCCUGGAUUGGAUUGAAAUCUGCCAAGAACACUGAUAUAGAAUGCAAGGUCAGGUCGAGUACAAACCUGAGCAUACCUGAGGCUUCCUACCAGUAAGGCAUAAGGCUUGUCCUGCAUCUCUAUCCUUUCUUGUUCAGUCUUGGGAGACUGUUCACUACUAAGCUUAUCACCCUUUGAGAAUGGAACAUCACAGCCUGUGCAAUUUUCCAUAUUAAACCUCUUAAGUAUCUUCUCAAUAUAAGCCUUCUGAGAUAAACCUAUCAACUUUCUGUGUCUAUCUCUGCGAAUUUCGAUUCCUAGUACAUAGUUGGCUUCUCCUAGAUCACUCAUAUCAAAAUAAGUAGACAACAUUCUUUGGGUGUCAUGUAACAAGGACAAAUUACCGCUUGCUAAGAGGAUGUCGUCUACAUAUAAGAGUAGAAUAAUAAAAUCCUUUCCAUUGAACCUCAUGUAAAUGCAUUCAUCCACUGGAUUGUCAAUGAAACCUUGAGAUUUUAUUACCUCAUCAAAUUUAAGAUACCACUGUCUUGAAGCCUGUUUUAAACCAUAAAUUGAUUUCUGCAGUUUGCAUACUAAAUUCUCUCCCCCUUUUAAGACGAAACCAUCUGGCUGUUUCAUGUAAAUCUCUUCAAGUAGAUUUCCAUUUAGAAAGGCUGUCUUGACAUCCAUUUGAUGCAAGUGUAGAUCAAAAUGUGCAACCAAAGCCAUGAUAACUCUGAAUAAGUCUUUUGUUGACACAGGAGAAAAAGUUUCAUUAUAAUCCACUCCUUUUUGUUGCGUGAACCCUUUUGCCACUAAUCUGGCUUUGUAUCUGUCUAUUUUCCCUUGUGCAUUCCUUUUAGUUUUGUAGACCCACUUGCAGCCAAUAGGUUUAGAACCUGAUGGUAAUUCAUCUAAACUCCAUACACCAUUCUUGCUCAUCGAUUCAAGUUCAGACUCCAUGGCUGCAAACCAAUGUUGAUUUUUCUCACUUUCCAUGGCUUGUUUAUAAGUGGCAGGAUCUUCUAUGGUGUUGAUGUCAAACUCAGAUUCUUGCAAUAUAGACAAAAUAGUCAUUUGGUAGAGCUGGUCUUCUAGUUCUUUGGGAUCUCCUUAAUUCCAUGGUCUGAGGUUGUUCUAGCAGAUUUAACUGCAUUUCAACUUCUGCAUUUUGAUGUAUUUCAACUUCUGCAUUUUGAUGUAUUUCAACUUCUGCAUUUUGAUGAUCGUUUAAGUCUUCAUGUGCAGGUGAGAUUUCUUUAUUCAAGUUGUCGAAACUCAAGAUAGUCACUCCCUUUUCUUUAUUUCCAGCUUCUGCAUUUACUUUGCUUUCUAUUAUUUCUUCAAACUCAAAAUCUGCUGUAUCUAUUUCUUCCUUCUCUUCUUCAAUGAAAACAGCCAUUUGUGUCUCUACAAAUCUGGUGGUGUGAUUUGGGCAGUAAAAUCUGUAGCCUUUUGUCCUGUCUGGAUAGCCCACAACAUAACAACUAAUUGUCUUUGAGUCAAGCUUCUUUUGCAUUGGAUUAUAGAUUUUUGCUUCUGCUCUACAUCCCCAAGUUCUCAAGUGAUUGAAACUUGGUUUUCUAUUGCACCAGAUUUCAUAGGGGGUUCUGUCAACACUUUUAGUAGGUGUUCUAUUAAGCAAGUAAUUUGCUGUCUUCAAGGCUUCUCCCCAUAAGAAAUUUGGUAGUGUUGUGCAACACAUCAUGCUUCUCACCAUCUCUAUCAAAGUUCUAUUUCGUCUCUCUGAAACACCAUUUUGCUGUGGAGUUCCAGGAUUCGUAUACUGAGCCACAAUACCUUCUUGUUGCAAGAAAAUGGCAAAAGGUCCUGGAUUUCUUCCUUUCUCAGUGAAUUUUCCAUAGAACUCUCCACCUCUAUCAGACCUCACUACUUUGAUUUUCGAAUCUAGUUGGUUCUCAACCUCUGCUUUGUAAAUUUUAAACAUGUCCAAUGCUUUCGAUUUUUCUGCUAUUAAAUACACAUAACCAUAUCUGGAAAAGUCAUCAGUAAAGGUUAUAAAAUAUCUGUAGCCAUCAUGAGUGUUGACUGGAAAAGGGCCACAAAUAUCAGUGUGUAUCAACUCAAGUAAUUUUUCACUCCUUACAGCUCCUUUCUUUCUGAGGUUUGUCAUCUUUCCUUUUGUACAUUCAAUACAUGUUUUAUCCCUUUCAUGGUGGUCAAGUGAUGGCAACAUAGAUUGCUUGCUUAAGAGAUUCAUCCUUUCUUUUGAGAUAUGUCCUAGUCUCUUAUGCCAAAGAGUAUAUGAUUCUGAAUUGCUUAACUGUAUUGUGCUUAUGACAUUUAACAUUUCAGUGCCUUGUUUUGGUAGUUUGCAAUUCAAACGAAACAUUCCAUCAACAAUCAUGCCAUUACCAACAACUCUUUUAUUUCUUGAAAUGGAGAAACCAAAUUCAUCAAACUCAAACUGUAAGUUUGAUUUUACAAGCCUACUAAUUGAUAAAAGGUUCCUUGUCAUAGUAGGAACAUAAACAACAUCAACUAAUUCCAAACAAAAACCAGAUUGCAACUCUAGAUUAACUAAACCAAUAAAAUCUACUUUAACUCUUUCUCCAUUUCCCACGAACACCUUCAAGUCAUCCUUAUUUGGCACUCUCUUUGUUUUGAACCCCUUUAGCCUUUUGCUUGUCCAACCAACGCUUGUACCUUCUACAAUCCCUCUUCAUGUGACCAAACUUUUUGCAGCAAAAACAUUUCAGACCUACUGGACCUGUCCCUUUGGUAAUUUCAUCCUUCUUCUGCUUCUUGUCUGCAUAUUUGGAUUUAUAUCCUUCCUUUGGCUUGCCUUUAAAAUCCUGCACCAGAUUCACAUGUUCCUUUGCAUUAUCAUUUCUAAUGCUUUGCUCUUCCUGCACACAUAUUCCUAUUAGAUCAGCCACUGUCCAUAUUUCUUUUUGAGCAAUAUAAGUAGUUUUCAAAUGCCUAUAAAUGCUAGGUAGGGAGUUAAAAGCAAAGUGCACCAUCAUGGCUUCAUCUACUAUAACUUUCAGAGCUUUCAGUUUGUUUCCAAUUUCGACCAUGUUCAAAAUGUGAGUCCUUAUGCAUCCUUCUCCAUUAUACUUAAAAUCUGUGAGUUUGCUCAUUAGUGUACCUAUCUCAGCCUUUUUGGAGCUUUGGAAAUUCUCUGCUAUUGCCUCAAUAAAUGCCUUUGCAUUUUCAGAUUCUGUGAUGCUGCCCUUUACCUCCUCUGAAAUUGAUCUCCUUAUGAUUAAGAUUGCCAUUUUGUUAGCCUUAGUCCAUUUUGCAAACUUGGUCCUAGUUUCGACAGAUGCAUCAGUUGCUGGUGUGGCUGGUGCUUCCUCAGUUAGAACCAUUUCAUAGUCCAAUAAGCCAAGAGCUAUUUCAAGAUCUUCUCUCCAUUUCUUAUAGUUGGAGCCAGUGAGGGUCUGGAUUGAAUUGUGAUUGACUGUACAGGUUUUUUAAAACAUUAAUACCUUAAAUAUUUUCCCCAAAAGACUUUAACUUAAACAUACUUAACUCACAUCUUUGGAUAGAAAGUUUAAGUACGUCCAUUGACACUGAAAUACAAACAGUCAUAUAAUUCUUUGAACAAAAGUUGUCCACAUCUUUGGAUAGAGGAGAACUUCUGCUAUUUUGUAACUGUGCAUAUUCCAUGUCGAUCCAUCAUAGUCAAAGCUAUAUCAAACUGCUCACAUCUUUGGACGGAGAGCCUUUCAAUGUGUUCUGAACUAUGAUGCCAAUUUGGAUCACUUACUUUGAAUGUAGUUAUCACGGAAUGAUUGAGUCGCUUUGGCUUGCUCAAUUAUCCCAUGGCAACUGCAAACUUGAUCAAAAACUGUCAAGAACACGAUAAAGUCAAUUCUUUAUACUGUUAUCAUGUUCUUGUCUAUAUAACUUGCAACCUUCAGUUUAUAGUUUCAUAGAUUUCCUGUUUCAGAUUGGUUAGGUAAAACAUGAUAUAACUAAAGCUCUGAUACCAUAUGUAAGUCUAAAUAGAUAUAACAUGAAAUACACUAACCUGUUUCAGACAUGAUGAACAAGAUGAAACUGAACUGAACUUGAGAAAACCAGAGACUUUCUCCUAGAAGCCGAGAACUCUUUCAGCAGUAAUUCUAAUGGGGUGAAUAUCUGUAUGCUUGUUUUUGUGUGUAUCUCGGCUCUAGAAGGAGCCUCCUAUUUAUAUGCAUAUCUCUAUGAGUUUAGCCCAUCAAUGAACUCUUAGAGAUAACCUUAAUGCUUAUAGGAUAAGGUAAUCUUAAUCCUUAUCAAAGUAGGAAUCCUUAAGCCUGUUAAUAUAUAUCUAGAACACUUAUAUUAGGCUGCCAUAUCAGAUAGGAAUAGACUUUCUGAUAAACCAUGAGUUCUUAGGAAUCCUUAUUCGAUUAGAAGAUCACUUUAGUGGUUUAAGACAGUAAACCAUCUUACAACCCAAACACACCUCUACAGCAUUGCUGCCAUAGUGCAGGGCCAACCCUACUGCCCACUCCAGUGUUGCUUCGAUCCCGAUGUUUCCUCUUUUGCAGUCCUAUUUUUCUCCUCUCUCUCACCUACAGUUAUCAUGAGUGACGAAUCUGUGGUUAGCGGUGCAUCCCGAAAUACGUGUACACCAUCUCCAUUGACUUUACCAGUCAAUCUUCCAUCUUAACCUGAUGCCAUACCUUUUGAUGUCAAGCUUAAUGGCAUCACCUACUCCCUGUGGUCUCAGCUUGUGGAGGCGUUUGUUGCUGGCAGUGGAAAAUAUUGUUAUCUAACAGGGAAUACUAAACAACCCGUUUUUGGAGACCCCAGUUAUGACAAAUGGGUGAUGGAUAAUGCUAUUGUUAAAGGAUGGUUGAUUUCUUCCUUGGAACCUGAUGUGAUGAAUUUAUUUAUCCGUCUGCCUACUGCUAAGGGUAUCUGGGAUGCAGUCUCGAAGACUUAUUUUGAGGGUGUCGAUAGAUCUCUUGUGUAUGACUUGUCUCGUCUCGAAAGGCUAUGCAGAUGAGACAAGCCGAACAAUCACUUGCUGCCUAUUAUGCUAAUUUGAGUGCUCUCUAGCAAGAGUUGGAUUAUAGGAAGCCUAUUCCUUUUACCCAAGCAGAUGUGAUUCUUGCCAGAGAACAGGAGAUUACAGAGGAGUGUGUCUACAUGUUUUUGGCUAGGCUUGAUGAUAUUUAUAAUAGCAUUCGUAGUGAAAUCCUUCGGACCAAGCCAUUACUCACUCUAGAAUCCACUUUUGCUACUAUUUGCCUUGAGGAGUAAUGCAGACACAAUAUGCUUAGUCCGGGCUCUAAUGUCAGCAUGGCUAUGGCAGCUGUUGCUAUUGGGUCGUCUUCUUUAACCUAGAAUAGGACACCCAUAAAGCCAAGCUUUGUCACUCACCCUCCUACCGACGAUGGUUGCGCUUACUGUCACAACUCUAUAUAUGUUGUGGAAUAAUGUUUUAAGAAGAAUGACUAUCCUGACUAGUGGGAAGCUUUCCAAGAUAAGAAAACAACUGAUGCUCGUGAGGCUCGCCAUGGUGACUAGGUAUGUCGCCCUACCACCUCUUGCUGCUGAUAUGAGUGGCGCAUUACCCAUGACGUCCUCAACCCUCAUCUCUCCUCAGUCUACUACUUCUUCUUCUUUUUCUAUUAUUUUAGUUGUUGAUCCUGUUCCUACUUAGAACCCAGGUAAUACGGGUUUUGCAUUACUUGCUACUAAUUCUCAGCCUGACCUUGAACAGAUUAUUGAUUCGGGUGCCACAGAUCACAUGACAUAUGACCCCUUUCUUUUAUGGAGUCAUAUUCCUCCCACCGUUCGAGUGUGGCUAAUGUCAAUGGUGUUGCCUACCCUGUUUCUAGCGUUGGCACUGUUGAAUUGACUCAUUCUGUAUCUUUGGAGCAUACUUUAUUAAUUUAUGCACUAUCCAAUGAUUUGUACGACUUUGCAAAACUCAAGCGAAGGUGUCAUAUAGCAGUGUAGCUCGGAAGUCUGAAUGUCGUAUCCACAGAGAGCGGUGUGAAGAAAAUAACAGAGCUGAGACAUAACAAUUAAGAUAGAGGUGUAGAUUUAAGCAAUAUUUGAUUUAAAGAAAAUUUAAUUAAUUAAAAUAUUAAGGCAUUGGGGUUUCACUUUUAACAUAUGCAUGCAACUCUUAUUAAUUUGAUCCACAAAAUAUUUUCCAUUGUAGUUGAAAUAUUUAAAGCUCUAUUUAAUUUCCUUUAGAAGUAUUCUAAGCAUAACUUGUAUCAUUGGCAACAAACUAUCAAAAAAUAAUCUUCAUCGAAAAUUCUAUUAAUCUUUAGUAAUUCUCUUCUCUUUUAAAAUUAUGAAAGGUUUCACUACACAAUGGGAAAAACAUGAUUGAACCCAUGAAAUAAAUUAUCAACCACUCAUCGAUUAAUUAAAAAGAAAACUACAAAUUCCAUUUGAACAAAAACUACAAAUUCACAUUAAAGCUUAAGUUACCAAACUAAUAAAAAUUACACUCACAUUAAAAGCUUUCUCCCUAGCCUUAGCUAGGUAGUUAGUUCCCCAUAAAAUAAAACUAAAACAGAAAUUUAGAACUAGAAUAAUUGAAGGAAGGAGAGAGAGCUCAAGAGAAGAUUGUGAAGCUUGGGGUCCUUGAAGGCUUGUAGAGCUUUCUAUUUAUAGCCUUAAAUCUCAACAACAACAAUCACUAGGGAAAUAUUAAAAUCUGAAAUUCUAAUCCCUUUCAAUGCAAAACCGUAGCCCAUCUCUUCAUCAUUUCUUCUUUUCUUCAAUUUAUGCCCCACUUCCAGCUUUUGUUAUUCAAUUUUCAUUGCUUUUUACAUUGCUUUCUUGCUCCCAUCUUGCCACUAACCCAAUUACCAUUGAGUGCUUUCAGUGUUUAUUUUGCUGCUGUUCCCCAUCCAUUAACUUUUGCUAUUCCCAUAAUUUUAAUCGUCCAAAUGAAGUCAGAUCUUCCCAAGCCACCAUCCAUUGUUCAACUUGACAAUAAAAAUAUUGAAAUUAUCUCCUUGAACGUAAUGGAUAUUGGAUUUUCAAUUGUUUUUAUUACAAAUAGAUAUGAAUAUCAAACUUCAACUUAAAUAGUCUAAAUAAACUAACCGAAAACACUAACAAAUAUAACUUUAGGGAUAAAAAUUAUAUUACUUUGGUGCUUAUCAUCCAAUAAUCUACUUUUUGUCCCUCAAGUGACUAAGCAGUUAAAUUGUCUUGUAUUAAUAUAUUUAUUUUUUUGUCUUCUUCAGGAUAUCAGCAGUCAGAAGAUUAUUGGUCGUGGUACUAAGAGGAUGGCUUUACUAUGUGGAUGAUGUUUGCACCGGGAAGGUUUUAUAUGUCAAAGGUUGUGUUUAAGAUAUGGAGAAUCAGAUUUGGUUCUGGCAUCACCGCCUAUGGUAUUCUUCUUUUGGAUAUUUGAAACAUUUGUUUCCGUCACUAUUUUUUGGUCAUCAGACUUCUAAUUUUACGUGUGAUACUUGUAUUUUAGCUAAAAGUCAUCGUGCUACUUAUCCUUUGAGUUCUAAUAUAACUUCUGUUCCAUAUAUGUUGGUGCAUAGUGAUGUUUGGGGCCAUGUGCCUGUGUCUACUCAUUCUUGAUAUUAGUGGUUUGUCAUUUUUGUGGGUGAUUGCACUCAGAUGACCUGGCUGUAUCUAAUGAAACACAAAAGUGAUGUUUAUGAUUGUUGUCAUAUGUUUCAUAAAAUGAUUCAGACUUAAUUUUUUACUACUUUGAAAGUUGUUCGUCCUGAUAAUGGCGGGGAAUAUGUCAAUCAGUUGUUAGAGGCUCAUUUUCAGGAUCAUAGUAUUGUGCAUGAGAAAACGUGUCUGACACUGGUGUUAAGAAAUGGAAGAAUCGACAUAUUCUAGAAAUCACCCGUGCUAGCCUCAUUGGUGCCCGUAUGCGGCCCCUCUAUUGGGAAAAUGUUAUUAUGUCUACAGUUUAUCUUUUUAAUAGGGUUCCUACUAGUGCGUCGCAGUUUAAAAUACCUUUGGAAAUGCUUUAUGGACAUUUUACAAAUUCCUUCUACUUUGACUCUGGCACCCCGCGUGUUUGGAUGCACUAUGUUUGUUGAUCUUCCUAAGACCUAGCAUAUUAAGUUGGAUCAUUGUGCUUUGAAGUGUGUAUUUCUUGGCUAUUCUCCUCACCAAAAAGGCUAUCGGUGUUAUCAUCCACAGGACCUAUGUCUCCAUGGAUGUUUCUUUUUCUAAACAAGAGAUGUACUUUGCUACUCAUGUCUCUAAUUUCUCUCUUCAGGGGGAAAGUCUCAGUGUCGAAGAGUUGAAUUGGAUGGUUUUAUUUUCUGAUUCAGUAGACCUAGCAUCACACUCAAGGGGAGUCUUUACAAGUGGUACUCCGACUGAAUUGAAUCAUCCACCACUGGAAGAGCUUGAGACACUGCUUGAGAUGCUGCACUCUGAGCCAACAAGUGGUGAUAUAGCCGAUUCUUCCCCCUUCUACUCCAACUGUACAUGACCAAGAAAUCUCUUCUGCUGAUACGUCUUAGGUAAGUCUAGAAAAACAUAUUAUUAGUACUCAUGUUAAUAUGCCUAUUGUGCCAAGUGACAGUGAUAGGUUUUAGCUACCACCAAGGAGUACCCGUGGAAAGCCUCCAGACAAAUAUUCACCUAAUACAUUUAAGACGGUGAAAUGCCCUAUUGCGAACUAUAUGUCAGCUCACAGGUUGUCAGUUGCUAGUCAAGCCUUUGUGAGUCAGAUGUCACCAGUAAAUAUUCCCACAAAGGUACACGAGGCUCUGUACUAUUCUAAGCGGGCUGAUGCAAUGAUUGAAGAAAUGAAAACGCUUAAGAAAAAUCAGACAUGGGACAAUUAACAUGUACAAAGUUAGACUAGUUGCAAGGGGAUAUACCAGAAUUAUGGUAUUGAUUAUCAAGAGGCUUUUGCACAUGUCGCAAAAAUCAAUACUAUACGCCUCUUAAUGUCUUUGACUGCAAACUUAGAUUGGCUUAUGCAGCAAUAUGAUGUGAAGAACGCUUUUUUACAUGGUGAUUUAUGUGAAGAAGUGUAUAUGAGUAUGCCUUCUGGUUAUAGUGUUACAAGGCAAACAUCCAUUAUGUGCAAAUUAAAAAAGGCCUUAUAUGAAUUAAAGCAGUCUCCUAGAGCGUGGUUCGGGAGGUUUCGUCAGGCCAUGAAGACAUAUGGUUAUGUACAAAGUAAUGCAUAUCAUACCCAUUUCUUAAGCGACAAAGUGGCAAAGUCGCCGCACUCAUUAUAUAUGUGGAUGACAUGAUUGUGACAGGAGAUGACAUUGAGGAGAUAGAGAAGCUGAAGACUUAUUUAGCUUCUGGGUUUGAUAUGAAGGAUCUUGGAGGAUUAAAAUAUUUUUUGGGAAAAGAAGUUACUCAGUCAAAGCAAUGUAUAUUUCUAUACCAAAGAAAAUAUAUUUUGGAUUUAUUGGAAGAAGCUGGUAUAUUGGGUUGUCAACCUAUUGAUACGCCCAUUGAGCAGAAUUAUUGUAUGGAGGAGCUCCUAGAUCAAGUACCAAACAAUAAAGAGAUAUAUCAAAGCUUAGUUGUUAGAUUAAUUUAUUUGUCACACGCUAGACCUGAUAUUGCAUAUGCAGUAAGUGUUGUGAGUCUGUUUAUGCAUAAUCCAAGUGAAGUCCGUAUGAGUGCAGUGAUGAGAAUUUUGUGUUAUCUGAAAUCUGCUCCUGGGAAUGGUCUUAUGUUUUCUAAGACACUUGGAGAUUAUAGAGUGUUUAGGCCUAAAAUAUACGCGCUAGCCCAAAAUAAGUAUUGGGUUCACUUUCCAAAAUUGUAUUGGGCUUUGGUUUACCAAAAGAUAAAAGUUGUUUGAAAUAGUUUUUUCCCAAAAGAUCAUAGUUUCUUAGCGGCUAAGGUUUUGUCAGGGUAAACCCUCACCUUGGGUGGCUAAAAUCCAAAGAGAACUGAUGACAUUAAUUAAAAGCUGGAAAGUGAGGUCAGGUUUGCUUUAGUUAAAAGUCACGGCUAUUUAUUGCAAAAUCGUUGAUUUUUCUAUCCACCAUGAUACUUGGAUAUUUAUGGUACCAACGUUGGAAGAAUUUGGGCAUUAUUGCUCACUUCAACUAGGUUGUUGCAAAAGGAACGAACAUGAGGCAUUCAGGAACAUUAAUGAGCAGAUGCCAAAAUUGAUCAAUGCAUUGAACUGGCAGAACUUUUGCCACUUGUGCAUUAAAUGGAGGAUAGUCCAAACUAAAAAUAUCUAGAUUUCUUCAGCAUCACAUUUUCUCUUUUAAAUACAAGAGUGUCUGGACUGGAGAAAACACACCCAACCAACCAACCAAUCAAGCAAAAACUAAACAAUUAAUCCAGAUUGACCAAAAGAAACCGAAGAUCAUUCGAUCUUGCAACUACCAAAAGCAAGCAAGUAAUCUUCCUUUAGAAGCAAUCCAACUCAAGAAGGAAUUCAGAAAAUCAUGAAGAAAACAAGAUUUCCCUCGCAAUCCAGAGAAGGUAAAUCAGACAGAACUCAAAAGAGAUUGAUUUCUCUUACAAAUUUGGUUCAGCAAACUAGAUAAGAACAAGAAGAAAUCAAGUAUUUCAUUAUAUGAAAACCUCAAUAAAUUUUUCAAAGACAUCUUAAUGUUUUGAAGUCGUCUAGAUAGCUUCUAGAUCACUCAGAAUUGACUAGAAUUGGGUUCCUAGUCUGCCCAAGGCUUAACUCAUUUAGAGCUCUGUGGACUUCAAACUUCGUAUCGAUUUGCAGCUAAUCCCUAGUAGUUGAAGGUGCUAACGUGCAAUUCCAGUACAUAAACAUUCAAUCCAGUCCACCCAGAUCAUAAAUCAUUGUUGCAACUAUGUUUUCAAGCAGAGGUCAAAAUUCAACAUCUCUAAGAAUUUAUUAGAUUUAGAGAUUCAUCUGAUUCUUUGUACUUCAGGCAAUUUUGCUUGGAUUUGUUUGUUAUGUUAUCGAUAAAUUCGUGUAUUUUGCUUUACUUAUCAUUUUUGUCUAGAUAAAUUGUGAAGUCCUCACUAGUCUAAGGCAUAGGAAAGAACUCUCUCCGGAGGUUUUCCCACCCAAAAUCACAAUUGUUUGUUCAAAGUCCAAUUCCUUGGGGCGCAAGUAUAUAAAGUCACUCAAAUCUGUUAGGGUAUUACAUGCUAACAGUGGCACGCUUGCAUAAAGAAAGUUAAUCCAUAAACCAUUAAAUGGUUAAAAGAUUAUUGGGGAAUUUUACUUAGUCUUCAACAGACUCCAAUAUAAAAAAAAUGUAAAUACAAGGUAUACAGAUUCUUAUUGGGGUGGCAAUUGUUUCAAACGAAUAUCCACUUGUGGAUAUUUUACCUUUGUAGGAGGAAAUUUGGUUACAUGGCGUAGUAAGAAACAAAAGGUGGUUGCUCUGUCUAGUGCAGAAGCAAAGUAUAAAACUAUGGUUAAAUGCAUAUGUGAAUUAUUGUGGUUGAAAAGACUUAUGGAAUAACUGUGUUUCGGAUCUAAAGGGGCUAUGCAGCUUUAUUGUGAUAAUCAGUCAACGAUCAAAAUUGCAGAGAAUCCAGUGCAACAUGAUCGUACUAAGCAUGUAAAGAUCGAUAGUAAUUUUGUGUAUGAGAAAUUGGAAAAUAAUAUUAUGCAGAUUCCGCAUAUGAAGACUACAAAUCAACUGGCUGAUAUUCUGACAAACACCGUAUCUAGUGAAGCAUUCCAUGAUUCACUUGUCAAGUUGGGCAUUAAAGAUGUAUAUGCGCCACCUCGAGGGGAGUGUUGACAUGAAUCAUGUAAUUGAUUUAAAUUAGGAAUUGUAAUCCCGUAUUAGAUGAGAUUGUAAUUACUUUUUUUGUUGUUGUAUACUUAUACAUAUAUAAAUACCCUUCUAGAGAGAAGAAUAAAUCACUCUGAAUUAUUCUACCCUAAUACGUAUAUUUUCAAUGUCAUUUUGGCCAAGGAUGGAAUACCGUUGCCUAACUCCACCACAAAUCAUACCCAUUAUGAGCUUCAUGUCUAUGAGAAGCUUUGGGAGGUCUUUGGAAAUUAGUCUCUUUUCGUCAACUCGACAAUUAAACAAAAUUAAUUAUGUAUUUAAUAUAUUUAAAUUCCUCCCUAGUUAUAUAAAGACCCUUAUAUUGAGGGAUAUACUGAUUCUUUUAAAUAAUAUUAAUGGUGUUGACGUCUAAAAUUGAUUCAACAUAAGAUGACCUUUUCGAGAUUGAGGUCGGGCACUUCUUCCGAACUAGGUCAGCUUGACCAACAAAGUCGUCCUCCAGAACCUGCAAAGAAAAAGAGCUUCAGUGGGUGACACCAGUGUGUUGGACAUUUCAGUGAGUCUAAGUAGUAGUAAGUGUCUUUCUUUCAAAUCUCUGUGGAACAACCUCGUUCUUGCAUUCCUAUACUAUAAUUGGUCCGUGCUCUAGCGAGAAACAGAUAGAGUAAAAUCAAUCUAACAAGAAACUGGUGCAUUUAAUCUAUUUUGUGUUCGUCAUUUAGUUCAUUGAGCUCUAGAUAUCAUUGGAGGCAUUUGAUACAAAAUGAUGCAGAAAAUGUGCAAAACUGAUCACUAGGCUAGCAGCCUUGUUUUGUACAUACCAUCUUCAUGAGAUGUUAGAUCGAGGCUCACAACAUAUGGUUGGAAAGCUGAAAUUUUGGGCUUCAAGUGAUAGUGCUCAAAAGUCGCAUUUGGAGAUUUAAUGCCCAAGUUGAAAGCCCACGAAAUUUCUUGGUCAUGUUGGGAUAAGCAUGAGCUCUUGUUGCUGGGAACAAAGUUAGGUCUGCUAAUUUAUUGUUUACAGCUCAAGUGGAGCAUUAAUGAGCAUUCAUAAUGAAGAAGAUAGCAAGAGAUCACAUAUAAUACAAUCCAUGCAUGUUAAGGGCUGAUUGGGAUGAGAGGAAUAUGAGCUUAAAGACAAACCCAAUUUGGGCUACACUCCCUUGUCAGCCCAGUUUCGCAGGUCACAUUGCAUGCCUUAUUUCAGCAACCUAGACAGCUCGGAUGAGAAGACAUUCUUGAUAGAAGUUGUUCCAAUGAGUGUCUAUUAUAGCAUAUUCAAAUUUCAUCCCCAUCAGAUACAUCUAGAGUCGUCAUCACGUCAAACACUCAACCAAGUUCACAGAAAGUCCUAGUUGGCUGCUAUCACAUUUAAUGUUCCCACAUCCCUGUAGCCAUGUGCUACACAUAAAAGCAGCCACAUAUGGGAGACAAAUUAGCUUGGGAACUUCGAAAGGGGAACAAAAGUCAAGCUUACCAUGAGAAUACCAGGAAGAAUAGUCCAUCAAAAGCAUUUAUUGGGCAGCUGGAGUAGUUGGCACUUAAUAAGGCAGUUGGGCAGCUGUUGAGAGAGAUGUUCUACAACAACCAAAGGGAGAACGAAUUUGGCACUUUAUAAAUAGAGAGCUAUACACAUUCAUUCAUUUAUCUCCUAUAGAGUGAAAUUCGUUUUCCUCUUGGUUGGUGUAAAACAGCCAUCUCAGCAACUGCCCAACUGCCUCAUUAAUUGCCAACGGCUCCAACUGCCCCAUAAAUGCUUUGGUAGACUCGUCUUCUUGUUCUCCAAAUGGUAAGCAUGACUUUUGUUCUCCUUUCUAAGUUCCCAAGCUUAUUUGUCUCCCAUAUAUGGCUGCUCUUAUGUGCAGCACAUGGCUACAGGGAUGUGGCCACAUUAAAUGUGAUAGCAGCCAACCAAGACUUUCUGUGAACUUGGUUGAAUAUUUGACGUGCUAAGGACUCCAGAUAUCUCCAAUAGGGUGGAAAUUUGGAUAUGCUAUAAUAGAUACCCAUUGGAACAACUUCUAUUAAGAAUAUCUUCUCAUCCGAGCUGUCUAGGUUGCUGAAAGAAGGUUGUAAUGUGACCUACGAAAAUGGGCUAACAAGAGAGUGUAGCCCAAAUUGGGUUUGUCUUUAAGCUCAUAUGGAUUGCAUUGAAUGUGAUCUCUUACUGUCCUCUUCAUUAUGUCUACUCAUUAAUGCUCCACUUGAGUUGUAAAUAAUAAAUUAGUAGACCUAACUUUGUCUCCAGCAUGACCAAGCAACUUCGUGGGCUUUGGGCAUAAAAUCUCCAAAUGAGCCUUUCGAGCACUAUAAAUUGAAGCCCAUAAUUUUAGCUUUCCAACCAUAUGUCGUGAGCCUCAAUCUAGCAUCUCAUGAAGAUGGUACGUCCAAAACAAGGUUUCUGGUCCAGUGAUCAGUUUUGCACGUUUUUCUACAUCAUUUUGUAUCAAAUGCCUCCAAUGGUAACUAGAACUCAAUGAACCGAAUGACAAACACAAAAUAGAUUAAAAGCACAAGUUUCUUGUUAGAUUUAUUUUACUCUAUUUUUUUUUUCUCAAGUGCACGAACCAAUUAUAGUAUAGGAAUGCAAGAACAAGGUCGUUCCACAGAGAUUUGAAUGAAAGACACUUACUACUACUGAAUGAAUUACAGACACUUACUACUACUUAAACUCACAAUGAGGUUGAGUUUUGUUUGUUUGGAGUGAAAACUACUAAAAAGAAUGCAAAAUAAUAAAUUGACUAGCAAGUGAAUGUUUAGAAGAGUUUAGAGACAAUGAUAACAAGCACUAGGGGUUCAACUUCACCAUAACAAUCCAAUUCCAUGUUACAAGUUAAAAAACAUCAAAGUUGAUCAAUUCAGUUUCUGGAGUUCGUUCUUUCUUAAAUAUGAUUAUCGAUAUGGUGUUUGGUUUUAAUCAAGUAUUCAUAAUACAUAAUUUAGCUAUGGUGUUUAGCCUAAACUAUGAAUAUGAAUCCAUUAAGCUUAGAGAAGAACAAUAAGGAACCAAGUAAACAUUUAAACAUGGUGUUUGUCCUAAAUAUGGUGUCUAUGAAAACUUGAACUAUAUAACCAACAUGCAAGUGUCAAUAAUGGCCAACUAUUUAAACAUGCAUAAAGAUUCAACUAAGAACAAAUGAGUGAGACCAAAAACUAGAACUAAUCAACAAAAAGUAAAAUUAACUUGAAAACAUGAAACUCUCUUCUCAUGCUACAUUGAAACUCUAGCUAUGGUAAUUAGUAACACCCCAUUAAUGGAAGCAACAACAUUUGAAUCAUAAUAAACAUGAACGGUAUAAGAAAAACCCUUGAAAACGAAUUAUGAUGUUGAAGAGCUCCUCACAGCUUCUAACAUGUGUGCUUGCAGCCAGAGAUCAAGAGUAGUGUAGAUGGUAUUUCUGUGUUUCUGGUGGUUUCUCCUCUUCUCCUACUUGGUAUCAACGAAUUUCACUUUAUAAUAUGGCAUAUGAAUGUGUGGAGGGUGUGAAUGGAAGAUAAAUGAAUGAAUGUGUGUAGCUUUCUAUUUAUAGAGUGCCAAAUUCGUUCACCCCUUGGUUGGUGUGGAAUAG